GGGCUUUAGAGGCCCGGAACUCCGCCCUUUACGCGCGAUGCUCUAGCCAAUCAUAGGCACGUCGUGUAGCGACAGCCAAUCGGAAAGGCCGGUUCACGGAACCGCGCCCCUGAAGCCUUCAGGGUUCGGCUGCAACGUGGCUGGUGCUGUGUGUUAGAGGUGUUUUUAGUCUGGUCGUUCACGUCCGGAUCUAUCCCGCGCCAUCGCGCUUUCAGUGAGGCAGAGCGUCAAAAUCCGAAUCGGAGAGGCAGAAUCAGAACGCUGUGCUGGGGAGUGAUAGACGAGUUGUUGGGGUGUUUGGCGACAUGUCUGUGACUCCAGGGGAGACGGAGGAUGCACCAAUUGUUAAUGCAGGGAGCCUUGCCGCGAUGGGAGAAGUGAGGGAAAUCGAGUAAGGCUUACCUUGAACUGGAACUCGAGUUUGUCUCAUCUCAGACUUCCGAGACCAGGUUCACCAUCGUCGGAUAGACCUAUUAAAUAACCAACUCUGGAAGCCAGAAGGGGUGGCUGCUAUAGAUAUUCUUCGAGUAUUUGGGACAGGGAGGUAGGUAGUACAACUGUUUUGUUCCUUUUUUGGGUUACUUUGCUUUAUUGGUGAUAUUGAGGUUCUCAGUUUGAUUUUUUUUGGGGGGACUAUCUGGAAUCGAACUCGGGACCUUGCACCUGCGAGGCAGGUGGCGGCCAAACCAGUUAUUUGAUAUGCAGUGUAUCUCUGCUAUCCUUGCUUUCUCUAGUGACUUCAUAUCCAGUGAUUAAACCUUUUCACUGCUGUUCACAUAAUGAACUGUUGUGAUUAUUGAGUACUUAAAUGAGGAUAUAUAAGUUUCACUAAAGGUAGUGUUACUGCCAGAGGCAUUGACCAUUGCAGAGAAGAAUUUUAAAGGAAAAUAUCUUUUUUAGGAAUUAUGCUUUUGAAGGCGCUGGGAAAAGACAUGUGGAACUUGGAAAAUAAUUGUUUGAAAAAUGCAGGAAAGGAUUAAAAUGGAAGGGUGUUUUUCUUAGAGAACAUCAUUUGUCAGAUUUAUUUGAUCAAGAAUUUGAAGAUUAUUAAGUUACCACCUAAACUGUUUGAACCAGAGGACAGUACUGGUGAAGAAUUGUUGAUUAAUGAAUCAGGAAGUCAUAGUGAACCUGAAGAUGAUUUUUUAGAAGUAUCAGAUGAUGGAUUUCAUUCUGAGAAUGAAGCUUCAUACCAUUCAGAGAAUUUGUUGAACUUAAUUUGGAAAAUCCAAUGCCUACUCUUCCUAAGUUUCCGUUCACCAAUACACCUGGUGUAAAUUUGUCAUUUAGACAGGAUACAGAGCCAGAUAUGUAUAUUAAUUUGAAUACAAUAAAAACUAAUAUGCUGACCAAUCAAAGCCUUCUGGAAUUAUAGGGAAGUUUUUUACAUUUGGACUGGAAACCAAGUAAUGCAGUUUUUUUUUCUAUGUAGCCUACAAGGAAUUAUAUAUAAGCCAAUAUGUAAGUGGUAUUGGUCUAAGGAAGAUUGUAUUGAAACCU